rnacentral:rRNA from 1 species
CAGCAGUAGCCACGGGAAUACGAAGGGUGCAAGCGUUAAUCGGAAUUACUGGGCGUAAAGCGUGCGUAGGCGGUUUGUUAAGUCUGUUGUGAAAUCCCCGGGCUCAACCUGGGAAUGGCAAUGGAUACUGGCAAGCUAGAGUGUGUCAGAGGAUGGUGGAAUUCCCGGUGUAGCGGUGAAAUGCGUAGAGAUCGGGAGGAACAUCAGUGGCGAAGGCGGCCAUCUGGGACAACACUGACGCUGAGGCACGAAAGCGUGGGGAGCAAACAGGAUUAGAUACCCGAGUAGUCCCUGUCUCUUAUAC